UGAUUAGGGUUUUGGUUUUAAUUCCUUAGAAACUUCCAUUGGCGGUUUAAGAUUUGUGCCACAACUCUAACACUGACAACCCAUUCCCGGUUUCUUUCCUCUGCUUCCUUUCUAAAACUCAACCAGCAAUCACUUCUCCUUCCGAAAUUUCGACUUCUCAAGCCCACACCUCGCAAUUCUAGGUGCGCUCCCGUCGUCUUCGCCGCUCAGUUUGAUUUCUUUAAAGUUAUUCAAACAACAUGGAAGGUUGGGAAGGAUGGUGUUGAAGCAGGAACUAAUCUGGUGCCUGACUCUGUACCAAGACCAAUUGCAAGGAUUUCAAGAAUGAUUGUAG